GGGUUGUGAGGUUAAGCGACUAAGCGUACACGGUGGAUGCCCUGGCAGUCAGAGGCGAUGAAGGACGUGCUAAUCUGCGAUAAGCGCCGGUAAGGUGAUAUGAACCGUUAUAACCGGCGAUUUCCGAAUGGGGAAACCCAGUGUGACUCGUCACACUAUCAUUAACUGAAUCCAUAGGUUAAUGAGGCGAACCGGGGGAACUGAAACAUCUAAGUACCCCGAGGAAAAGAAAUCAACCGAGAUUCCCCCAGUAGCGGCGAGCGAACGGGGAGGAGCCCAGAGCCUGAAUCAGCAUGUGUGUUAGUGGAAGCGUCUGGAAAGGCGCGCGAUACAGGGUGACAGCCCCGUACACAAAAGCGCAUGUGCUGUGAGCUCGAUGAGUAGGGCGGGACACGUGGUAUCCUGUCUGAAUAUGGGGGGACCAUCCUCCAAGGCUAAAUACUCCUGACUGACCGAUAGUGAACCAGUACCGUGAGGGAAAGGCGAAAAGAACCCCGGCGAGGGGAGUGAAAAAGAACCUGAAACCGUGUACGUACAAGCAGUGGGAGCACAGGUUUACCUGUGUGACUGCGUACCUUUUGUAUAAUGGGUCAGCGACUUAUAUUCUGUAGCAAGGUUAACCGCAUAGGGGAGCCGCAGGGAAACCGAGUCUUAACCGGGCGUUAAGUUGCAGGGUAUAGACCCGAAACCCGGUGAUCUAGCCAUGGGCAGGUUGAAGGUUGGGUAACACUAACUGGAGGACCGAACCGACUAAUGUUGAAAAAUUAGCGGAUGACCUGUGGCUGGGGGUGAAAGGCCAAUCAAACCGGGAGAUAGCUGGUUCUCCCCGAAAGCUAUUUAGGUAGCGCCUCGUGAAUUCAUCUCCGGGGGUAGAGCACUGUUUCGGCUAGGGGGCCAUCCCGGCUUACCAACCCGAUGCAAACUGCGAAUACCGGAGAAUGUUAUCACGGGAGACACACGGCGGGUGCUAACGUCCGUCGUGAAGAGGGAAACAACCCAGACCGCCAGCUAAGGUCCCAAAGUCAUGGUUAAGUGGGAAACGAUGUGGGAAGGCCCAGACAGCCAGGAUGUUGGCUUAGAAGCAGCCAUCAUUUAAAGAAAGCGUAAUAGCUCACUGGUCGAGUCGGCCUGCGCGGAAGAUGUAACGGGGCUAAACCAUGCACCGAAGCUGCGGCAGCGAACGUAUCACCCAAGACAACUUUGCGGAGUUGACGAUUGACGGAGCGAAGCGACGUCAAAGCGUUCAUUAAAGUCGAGUUGGCUUAGGGAUACGUUCGUUGGGUAGGGGAGCGUUCUGUAAGCCUGUGAAGGUAUGCUGUGAGGCAUGCUGGAGGUAUCAGAAGUGCGAAUGCUGACAUAAGUAACGAUAAAGCGGGUGAAAAGCCCGCUCGCCGGAAGACCAAGGGUUCCUGUCCAACGUUAAUCGGGGCAGGGUGAGUCGACCCCUAAGGCGAGGCCGAAAGGCGUAGUCGAUGGGAAACGGGUUAAUAUUCCCGUACUUGGUGUUACUGCGAAGGGGGGACGGAGAAGGCUAUGUUGGCCGGGCGACGGUUGUCCCGGUUUAAGCGUGUAGGUGUGUGUUCCAGGUAAAUCCGGUUCACUUUAACACUGAGGCGUGACGACGAGGCACUACGGUGCUGAAGCAACAAAUGCCCUGCUUCCAGGAAAAGCCUCUAAGCAUCAGGUAACAUCAAAUCGUACCCCAAACCGACACAGGUGGUCAGGUAGAGAAUACCAAGGCGCUUGAGAGAACUCGGGUGAAGGAACUAGGCAAAAUGGUGCCGUAACUUCGGGAGAAGGCACGCUGACAUGUAGGUGAAGUGAUUUACUCAUGGAGCUGAAGUCAGUCGAAGAUACCAGCUGGCUGCAACUGUUUAUUAAAAACACAGCACUGUGCAAACACGAAAGUGGACGUAUACGGUGUGACGCCUGCCCGGUGCCGGAAGGUUAAUUGAUGGGGUCAGCGCAAGCGAAGCUCCUGAUCGAAGCCCCGGUAAACGGCGGCCGUAACUAUAACGGUCCUAAGGUAGCGAAAUUCCUUGUCGGGUAAGUUCCGACCUGCACGAAUGGCGUAAUGAUGGCCAGGCUGUCUCCACCCGAGACUCAGUGAAAUUGAACUCGCUGUGAAGAUGCAGUGUACCCGCGGCAAGACGGAAAGACCCCGUGAACCUUUACUAUAGCUUGACACUGAACAUUGAGCCUUGAUGUGUAGGAUAGGUGGGAGGCUUUGAAGUGUGGACGCCAGUCUGCAUGGAGCCGACCUUGAAAUACCACCCUUUAAUGUUUGAUGUUCUAACGUGGACCCGUAAUCCGGGUUGCGGACAGUGUCUGGUGGGUAGUUUGACUGGGGCGGUCUCCUCCUAAAGAGUAACGGAGGAGCACGAAGGUUGGCUAAUCCUGGUCGGACAUCAGGAGGUUAGUGCAAUGGCAUAAGCCAGCUUGACUGCGAGCGUGACGGCGCGAGCAGGUGCGAAAGCAGGUCAUAGUGAUCCGGUGGUUCUGAAUGGAAGGGCCAUCGCUCAACGGAUAAAAGGUACUCCGGGGAUAACAGGCUGAUACCGCCCAAGAGUUCAUAUCGACGGCGGUGUUUGGCACCUCGAUGUCGGCUCAUCACAUCCUGGGGCUGAAGUAGGUCCCAAGGGUAUGGCUGUUCGCCAUUUAAAGUGGUACGCGAGCUGGGUUUAGAACGUCGUGAGACAGUUCGGUCCCUAUCUGCCGUGGGCGCUGGAGAACUGAGGGGGGCUGCUCCUAGUACGAGAGGACCGGAGUGGACGCAUCACUGGUGUUCGGGUUGUCAUGCCAAUGGCACUGCCCGGUAGCUAAAUGCGGAAGAGAUAAGUGCUGAAAGCAUCUAAGCACGAAACUUGCCCCGAGAUGAGUUCUCCCUGAGACUUUAGGUCUCCUGAAGGAACGUUGAAGACGACGACGUUGAUAGGCCGGGUGUGUAAGCGCAGCGAUGCGUUGAGCUAACCGGUACUAAUGAACCGUGAGGCUUAACCUUACAACGCCGAAG
rnacentral:rRNA from 1 species